GGAACAGAAAGAUGGAGUCAGCUCCCUUCUUUCCCAAUUGGUGCCCCAUGUGAGGACAUUCCAAUCCUGACCACGUUUGGAAGCUGCGCACAUGGGGUUCAGCCUUGAUCCUGUGGAUAUGACAUAUGGUCACAUGUCAGGAAAUCAUUUGUGAGUAAAAGGGACAUAAAGCACACUACAUUGCACCAGAAUGGAGAGAUGUCAGCAUCACUCAUCCAUGAGGCUUGGGAAGGAAAUUCCAUUGUAUUGAAGCAGGAAUUCUACCAAUUAAGAAGGACAAAUUUAUUUUAAAUGAUUACACUCAAGAAUGUGUCUAUAUUAAGUGAAACUUCAUGGAAAAGCAUAAAAAUGACAUGGAGAAUGACGGCAAAAGAAAGUGUUGGCAUCUUCAAAAUCCAAAGAUUUUUGACCAAGGACAUAGUGGA